CGGGCCCCGCGCGGCGGCGGGGGACUUGUCCUGCUUACACUUGCGCGUGAGGAGCCCUGGCCAGCUGUGCGCGCCAGAGGCCGCGUCGCAAGUCUGGAUACACUCAAGUUUGCUGUAUGACACAUCCUGCAACUCAUUGUACUCUGAUGCCCUCAUUUAAACUACAACACAUGGCAGCCAUCAAGAACAAUGGUUUCCUCUUACCUCUUGGAUCUUUCUUCUGACUUCUCCUCAUCCUGGCUCAGGAACUCACCUCCACUCCCAGAACCACCUGUCUGGUUUCCCUGCCUCUAGGCCUGCCCUGCCAACCAGUGUGAUAUUUCUUAGAGGGAAAUCAGAUCCUGUCUCAAGUCUACAAAUGUGACUCUUGUUUGUGUUUCACAGACCCUCCUGCAGCUCUUCGGAUGUCAACCAAAAUGUCAUUCCACCGGAGUCUUCCCUGACCACUGGAUUUCAAGUUUUACCCUGGUUAUUCCCUUUCAUGGUCUCCCUCUGUCUCUCUCUCUCUCUCUUUAAUUUCUCUAUAAAUGUGUUGUUCUUUGUUUAUGUUAUAGAACCCAGAGUUCUAAGCCACAUCUUUGAAUUAUUCUGUCCCAUGUACAUAUGAGAUGUGAGAUAUACAUGUUAAUAAACUUGGGUUUGGGGAGUUUUAUUCGUUUUUGCCUUGUUAAUCUUGCUUUUAUUAUACAAUGUCACCUGAAAUCUAU